UCCGUAGGUGAACCUGCGGAAGGAUCAUUAAAGAUUGACCGAAAGGUCUUAUCUCUAUAUCCCUCACCUCUGUGAACUGUGGACCUCCGGGUCUAUUUAACAAACAUCAGUGUAAUGAACGUAUAUAUCAUUAAACAAAACAAAACUUUCAACAACGGAUCUCUUGGCUCUCGCAUCGAUGAAGAACGCAGCGAAAUGCGAUAAGUAAUGUGAAUUGCAGAAUUCAGUGAAUCAUCGAAUCUUUGAACGCACCUUGCGCCUUUUGGUAUUCCGAAAGGCAUGCCUGUUUGAGUGUCAUGAAAUCUCAAUCCCCCUGGGUUUAUGAUCUGGGUCGGACUUGGAUAUGGGCGUCUGCCGGUCACACGGCUCGCCUCAAAUGACUUAGUGGAUCUCUCUGCAUCCGUGACAGACGUAAUAAGUUUCGUCUUGUCCCUUGCUUAUGAGUCUGCUCAUAACCUGCCAUCGCGCACUUUAGACUCUGACCUCAAAUCAGGUAGGACUACCCGCUGAACUUAAGCAUAUCAAUAAGCGGAGGAAAAGA
rnacentral:sRNA from 1 species